UACGAAGGGGGCUAGCGUUGUUCGGAAUCACUGGGCGUAAAGCGCACGUAGGCGGAUCUUUAAGUCAGGGGUGAAAUCCCGAGGCUCAACCUCGGAACUGCCUUUGAUACUGGGGAUCUCGAGUCCGGGAGAGGUGAGUGGAACUGCGAGUGUAGAGGUGAAAUUCGUAGAUAUUCGCAAGAACACCAGUGGCGAAGGCGGCUCACUGGCCCGGAACUGACGCUGACGGUGCGAAAAGCGUGGGGAGCAAACAGGGAUUAAGAAACCC
rnacentral:rRNA from 1 species